rnacentral:lncRNA from 10 species
GUCGGUAAUCUUUUACUGCAUGUAUGAAUGUACUCCACUUUCUCCCCUUGGAUAAACUGGGGUCUUAUUUUGCAGUGCUGUCAAACUGUCACUGUUCACCAGCUAUAACAAAGCACACCAGAAAAAAAAAAAAUCAAUAGCAGUUCUACAGCUAAAACCUCAACACUCUUCCUGGAAAACGUUUUCAGAGAGAUAAAUAGCUCAAUGGGAUUAUCUCUAUCUCUCCUUUAAACCCCAGCGAACACAUUCUAGGGGGGAAAAAUGCAUUUGUUGGGAUAAAAUUUUAUCCAAACCUGCAAGGGCACAUCUAACAGUGUGGUGUUUCUUUGAUAACAUGAUGAAUUAUAUAAAAGGCCACUGCUCAUUCUCUGCCUUCCAUAAAUACCCUUGGGUCCAGAAAGCCACAACCACCUCUUUAAUGAAAGGCUUCUCUGAGGAACCUGAGUUUAUUGGACCCCAGGGAUCACUUAUGUUCUGUUGUUUUUUAGAGGUAUAAAAAGACUACAACUUUGGUGCACACUUAGUAUGUGUGUCUCUAUGCAUAUUAAGAUAUGAUUAUAUACAGAGUAGAAUCCUAUUAAGAUGCUAAUAUACGGAAGCAGAAUUCCACCUACAUAAUAAGACUUUCACAUUAUAAGAGGAUAAAUGUAUAUUUUUCAUCAUAUAAACAGAGCACGUGAUCUGGUCCUUAGAGUAUGUUGGUCCAUAGCAGGCCUUUGUGCUUUGUUAGUGGGAUUUUAAAUUGGGUGUUAGGUGUAGACACACAAUUUCAAAACAGCAAGCUGAUGGUAAGCGACUAUAGGCAACUUUUUCUAAUUAAACCAUUUGAAGAAAUACAGGGCUUCAUUGUCCACAACCUGACUUACAGAAAGAGGACAAAGUGGACUUAAAUUAGAACUCCCCGAGGUUUCAGAUAUCCAAAAGCUAUCUCUGAGCCCUCCACUCGGUAGCCCUUCCCCUAUCCGUGGUGAAUCAAGACUACUUCUAGUCACCGCACACACAGCCACAUCUCCUCGG